rnacentral:rRNA from 1 species
GAGACUCUGUGCGCGUGCAUAUCAAUAAGCGGAGGAAAAGGAAACUAACAAGGAUUCCCCUUAGUAACGGCGAGUGAAGCGGGAAGAGCUCAAAUUUGAAAUCUUCAAGGUUUGACCUUGACGAAUUGUAGUUUAAAGAAGUGUUUUCGGUUAGAGGAGUUUAGGUAAAAGUUCUUUGGAAUAGGACAUCAUAGAGGGUGAGAAUCCCGUAUUUGACUAUUCUUUCUAGCUUUGUGAUACACUUUCAAAGAGUCGGAUUGUUUGGGAAUGCAGUCCAAAAUGGGUGGUAAAUUUCAUCUAAAGCUAAAUAUUGGCGAGAGACCGAUAGCGAACAAGUACCGUGAGGGAAAGAUGAAAAGAACUUUGAAAAGAGAGUUAAACAGUACGUGAAAUUGUCAAAAGGGAAGCGUUUGACACCAGUGUUGUUUUUCCGAAAAUCAAUUAAAAAUUGAUUCAUGCCAGGUUGUAUUGACCUUAUCAGCUUGCAAUUUGGUUUUGGGUCUCUUUUUGAUGCACUUUUCGGUUAACAAGUCAACAUCAAUUUCCUUUGCUGUAAAAAGGUAAGAGGAAGGUGGCUUCAAUUUCGGUUGAAGUGUUUAUAGCCUUUUAUCUCUGCAGUCGGGGAGAUUGAGGUCUGCAGCGUAGAUCCUUCGGGGCUAGAUACAUUUAUGCUAAGUUAUAGCUUUUCAUAGACAACUUGUUGACUAUGUUUAGUCAUGUAGCUUACUCGUAAGUGCUAUUUUACCUACGCUUAGGAUGUUGAAGUCAUCGUAUCGCGC